rnacentral:lncRNA from 1 species
UGAGGUUGUCGGGUGAAGGACCUUUCAACGAGCCUUCGGCACACACCCAGGGCUGAAGACAUUGAUCCUUGCACACUCACCCUGCUUGCCCACGGCUCUCCAGGACAGCUAGGUCCCCUCUGGCUAAGAGAGAAUGAGGGUGUCAGGCCUCAGGACAGUCUUCCUGAGGGGGCCAGGGCAUUUCACAAAGGACAAAAAUAGACAGGAGAGAGGAGAAAGACAAAGAGAUGGCUCCUGGAAUCCUUUCGGGAAUGAAGGUGUGUGGCCAGCAAGGGCCUCGGAGGCUGGUUUUGAACUCCCAGCCUCAAGCCAUCCUCCUGCCUUGGCCUUUCAAAGUGCUGGAUUAUAGGCAUGAGCCACUGUGCACAGCCGAGACACAGUUUUACAUGGUGUCUUCAGUGGUCAGGAAGCCUCCUGGAGAAAACGACAUUUGAACAAAGACACGAAGAAAGUGGAGAAUAUUUGGGGAAGAGCAUUUCAGGCAGAGGAAGCUGCCAGGGCAGAGGCCCGAGGUGAGACUGUGCUAGCAUGUUAUUAGUUUUUAGUUUUAAAAAGUGCAAAAUAAUAUCCGUUUACUAUGGGAAAAUUAGACAUUAGAAAAGAAAAAUAUCACUUCUUAUCCCUCUUCCCAGAAAAAACCGGUAACAUGGUGAUAUAUAUUUUUGUGGUCUGUUUUAAGCAUACACACACACACACACACACACACACACGUGUGUGUGUGUAUAUAUAUAUUACGUACAUUUUUUACAAGAAUUGGGAUCAUACCAUACAUACGGUUUCAUAACCACUUAUUUGUGUAAUAAUAUAUCAAGGCAAUCAUUGCAUGUCAGUAAGUGUUGAUCCACAUCAUUACUGAAAUGGUUGUAGAAUGUUCCAUCUCACAGAUGUCUCAGAUUUUAUCCAACCAUUUCCCUACUAAUACGCAUUUCGGCGAUUUCCCCAAUUAGAAAUGGCGAUGUAGCCACCGUUCUUGUAGCCUUUCUGCACUGUCUGAGUAUUCAGUUAUUUC